rnacentral:rRNA from 1 species
GUACCGUGAGGGAAAGGCGAAAAGAACCCCGGCGAGGGGAGUGAAAAAGAACCUGAAACCGUGUACGUACAAGCAGUGGGAGCCUCUUUUAUGGGGUGACUGCGUACCUUUUGUAUAAUGGGUCAGCGACUUAUAUUCUGUAGCAAGGUUAACCGAAUAGGGGAGCCGAAGGGAAACCGAGUCUUAACUGGGCGUUAAGUUGCAGGGUAUAGACCCGAAACCCGGUGAUCUAGCCAUGGGCAGGUUGAAGGUUGGGUAACACUAACUGGAGGACCGAACCGACUAAUGUUGAAAAAUUAGCGGAUGACUUGUGGCUGGGGGUGAAAGGCCAAUCAAACCGGGAGAUAGCUGGUUCUCCCCGAAAGCUAUUUAGGUAGCGCCUCGUGAACUCAUCUCCGGGGGUAGAGCACUGUUUCGGCAAGGGGGUCAUCCCGACUUACCAACCCGAUGCAAACUGCGAAUACCGGAGAAUGUUAUCACGGGAGACACACGGCGGGUGCUAACGUCCGUCGUGAAGAGGGAAACAACCCAGACCGCCAGCUAAGGUCCCAAAGUCAUGGUUAAGUGGGAAACGAUGUGGGAAGGCCCAGACAGCCAGGAUGUUGGCUUAGAAGCAGCCAUCAUUUAAAGAAAGCGUAAUAGCUCACUGGUCGAGUCGGCCUGCGCGGAAGAUGUAACGGGGCUAAACCAUGCACCGAAGCUGCGGCAGCGACGCUUAUGCGUUGUUGGGUAGGGGAGCGUUCUGUAAGCCUGCGAAGGUGUGCUGUGAGGCAUGCUGGAGGUAUCAGAAGUGCGAAUGCUGACAUAAGUAACGAUAAAGCGGGUGAAAAGCCCGCUCGCCGGAAGACCAAGGGUUCCUGUCCAACGUUAAUCGGGGCAGGGUGAGUCGACCCCUAAGGCGAGGCCGAAAGGCGUAGUCGAUGGGAAACAGGUUAAUAUUCCUGUACUUGGUGUUACUGCGAAGGGGGGACGGAGAAGGCUAUGUUGGCCGGGCGACGGUUGUCCCGGUUUAAGCGUGUAGGCUGGUUUUCCAGGCAAAUCCGGAAAAUCAAGGCUGAGGCGUGAUGACGAGGCACUACGGUGCUGAAGCAACAAAUGCCCUGCUUCCAGGAAAAGCCUCUAAGCAUCAGGUAACAUCAAAUCGUACCCCAAACCGACACAGGUGGUCAGGUAGAGAAUACCAAGGCGCUUGAGAGAACUCGGGUGAAGGAACUAGGCAAAAUGGUGCCGUAACUUCGGGAGAAGGCACGCUGAUAUGUAGGUGAAGCGACUUGCUCGUGGAGCUGAAAUCAGUCGAAGAUACCAGCUGGCUGCAACUGUUUAUUAAAAACACAGCACUGUGCAAACACGAAAGUGGACGUAUACGGUGUGACGCCUGCCCGGUGCCGGAAGGUUAAUUGAUGGGGUCAGCGCAAGCGAAGCUCUUGAUCGAAGCCCCGGUAAACGGCGGCCGUAACUAUAACGGUCCUAAGGUAGCGAAAUUCCUUGUCGGGUAAGUUCCGACCUGCACGAAUGGCGUAAUGAUGGCCAGGCUGUCUCCACCCGAGACUCAGUGAAAUUGAACUCGCUGUGAAGAUGCAGUGUACCCGCGGCAAGACGGAAAGACCCCGUGAACCUUUACUAUAGCUUGACACUGAACAUUGAGCCUUGAUGUGUAGGAUAGGUGGGAGGCUUUGAAGUGUGGACGCCAGUCUGCAUGGAGCCGACCUUGAAAUACCACCCUUUAAUGUUUGAUGUUCUAACGUUGACCCGUAAUCCGGGUUGCGGACAGUGUCUGGUGGGUAGUUUGACUGGGGCGGUCUCCUCCUAAAGAGUAACGGAGGAGCACGAAGGUUGGCUAAUCCUGGUCGGACAUCAGGAGGUUAGUGCAAUGGCAUAAGCCAGCUUGACUGCGAGCGUGACGGCGCGAGCAGGUGCGAAAGCAGGUCAUAGUGAUCCGGUGGUUCUGAAUGGAAGGGCCAUCGCUCAACGGAUAAAAGGUACUCCGGGGAUAACAGGCUGAUACCGCCCAAGAGUUCAUAUCGACGGCGGUGUUUGGCACCUCGAUGUCGGCUCAUCACAUCCUGGGGCUGAAGUAGGUCCCAAGGGUAUGGCUGUUCGCCAUUUAAAGUGGUACGCGAGCUGGGUUUAGAACGUCGUGAGACAGUUCGGUCCCUAUCUGCCGUGGGCGCUGGAGAACUGAGGGGGGCUGCUCCUAGUACGAGAGGACCGGAGUGGACGCAUCACUGGUGUUCGGGUUGUCAUGCCAAUGGCACUGCCCGGUAGCUAAAUGCGGAAGAGAUAAGUGCUGAAAGCAUCUAAGCACGAAACUUGCCCCGAGAUGAGUUCUCCCUGACCCUUUAAGGGUCCUGAAGGAACGUUGAAGACGACGACGUUGAUAGGCCGGGUGUGUAAGCGCAGCGAUGCGUUGAGCUAACCGGUACUAAUGAACCGUGAGGCUUAACCUUACAACGCCGAAG